AUUUUACUUGGUUUUUCUUGUAAAUUGUUAAGUCUUUUCCCCAUUUCUAUUCAAGGUCGGUAAGAGUAAUUCUCAGCGAAGAGACUUGCAAUCAGAGCUCCUAUUCCCCAGUGUUUUGAUGGUGUUCUUCCUCUGUUGCUUCUCUUACAGGUCAAAGUCAUUAGCCUGAAGGCCUUACACUUGGGGCAAGAAGACUAAACCACCUGACUUAUUUUUGUCACAACCCAAAGGAAAGAUGGGAAGGCGGAUGAGAAGGACUGAUAUUCAUUCCCCAGGCAGAAUUUGACAAGAAUAGAAGGAACUGUUUUCUUCAGAUGAUGAUCCAAGGAUGUGCAACAAAAAGAGCACAGCAUCGCUCUUCUCUGCUGGGGGACUGGCUGCCUCUGUGACUGCUCCAAGAGCCACACUAUAG
rnacentral:lncRNA from 1 species